GGAAACCCCCAGGCCCAGGAUGUGGAAACCGGGGCGCCCCAUCCCUCACCCCAGGAGUCGGUCCAUUCCUCUAUCCCAAGUGAGAGGUCUUCUGAGCGCCCUGAGAGACUACAGUACAACCAGGACCAGUGCGCCCCCUGCCGGCCUCUCCCAGCACUGACUCGCCCUCUUGAUAUAGAGGUUUGAAGGCUGCUGGUGAUCAUCGGUCCAGCCCUAACAAAGAAUACGGGGGCACUGUCUUUGUCCCCACCGCCAUUGUUUGGGAACUAGGAAGCCAACCUUUUUAGCAGCAGCCUUCCCGGAGGACGUCUCCCUGUCUCUUUCCUUCCUGGGCUCUGCUAGGGCUUCAGCUAUCUGGAAAAGGGUCUGCUGGCGGCCUCUGGGACUUGGUUUGCAUUGUUGUCACCCUCUUUUCCUCUUAAGACACCCAGUACUGUAUACUCCCUGGCAGGGAGGAGAUUUGAGCUCUAGGCAGGGGAGAAAAGCCUAGUCCUUACAGGUCAUGGUUCCCCCAAAGUCAAGGUCCACGUGACUCCUCAGUAGAAAGGAUGAGGUUGUGAGCUGUGGGUUUUCAGAUCAGGUCCCGUCCCUUCAUCACUGUAGCUUUAGUUUGUCCCAGCGCUCAGCUCUGACCCAAAGGCUUUUCCAGUUACCAUCAACAUGGAAACUUGGCUUUUCGCAUGGGUAUAUUCUCCCCCUUUUAUGCACAAUCUUGCUCCUCGGAGCUGGCCUUCCGUGAAGGAGGAUUGGAGGGCUCAGAAGGCCUGGCCAAUCACCCAGGCCUCAGAAAGCCCCUCAGCUCUGAGGUGAAGUGGAAACAUAUAAUAAAGGCUCCAGGUCA